AAAGGGGGGGGGGGGAAGGACUCAAGGAGAGGAAAUGCAACUGUCAGAAAUCGGGACCGCCAGAUUUCCUGGUGAACCUGCCUCUGUCUGAGAGAGUGUCUCACCGAACGGUAGCUAAGAUCUCAGCAGAACCGCGCGGAAGUGAGGAGUCGCGGCCAAAGGCGCCCACCGGAGCCUCCUCUCCGGGCCGGACCCCAGCCCGAGCCGCGAAAGGAGCCCCCCGCCCGGAUCACAGCUGCUGCAGCUGCCGCUGAAAUUCGCUGUGGCCGCUGCCUCUUCCCGCUUUAAUCCCAGACCUCCAGUCAUUGGGCAGCUCCUCAGAGGCAAGAAGUCAACACCAUGGCAACCCGACAAGCCUAUCAAAUCACCGGCUGGCGUGACAGCAGCAACACUGCAGGCUGGAGUGGGCUGGGCAGAGGAGCCGAGUGGCCACUACGCUCAGGUUGCCAUGACAACGAGGAUUGGACAAAUACAGUUUGCUGGCACCUAUAAUGGUGGAAACAGGAUGUCAGAGAGCUCUCCUUGCUUUGUUUGUGGGAAGAGAAAUCGCGUU
rnacentral:lncRNA from 1 species